CUAUGGUGAAGGCGCGGCAAACGGCUCAGUAACACGUGGCUAACCUACCCUUGGGACGGAGACACUCCCGGGAAACUGGGGCUAAUCCCCGAUAGGUAAGGACUCCUGGAAUGGAUCCUUGCUGAAAAGACGUUGAGUCCAUGCUAUUCAGCGUCGCCUAAGGAUGGGGCCGCGGCCGAUCAGGUUGUUGGCGAGGCAACGGCUCACCAAGCCUAUAACCGGUACGGGCCGUGAGAGCGGAAGCCCGGAGAUGGGAACUGAGACAAGGUCCCAGGCCCUACGGGGCGCAGCAGUUGCGAAAACUCCGCAAUGCACGAAAGUGUGACGGGGCUACCCCGAGUGCCGUCCGCUGAGGACGGCUUUUCCCCGGUGUAACUAGCCGGGGGAAUAAGGAGAGGGCAAGACUGGUGUCAGCCGCCGCGGUAAUACCAGCUCUCCGAGUUGUAGGGAUGAUUAUUGGGCUUAAAGCGUCCGUAGCCGGCUUAGCAAGUCUCCNUGUUNAUUCAGCGACCCAAUCGUUGAGCCGCG
rnacentral:rRNA from 1 species